rnacentral:snRNA from 1 species
GUGCUCACUUCAGCAGCACAUAUACUAAAGUUGGAACAAUACAGCGAAGAUUAGUGUGGCCCCUACGCAAGGAUGACACGCAAAUUCGUGAAGCGUUCCAUACUUAA